rnacentral:tRNA from 1 species
UUUAAAAAAUUUAUAAAAAUUUGAUUUUUAUCACGACAGAUAUGUCUUUUUAUA